rnacentral:rRNA from 1 species
UACGUAGGUGGCAAGCGUUGUCCGGAAUUACUGGGCGUAAAGGGCGUGUAGGCGGUUUUUUAAGUCAGGCGUGAAAACUUAGGGCUUAACCUUAAGACUGCGUUUGAAACUGAGAGACUUGAGGAUCGGAGAGGGUAGUGGAAUUCCCAGUGUAGCGGUGAAAUGCGUAGAUAUUGGGAGGAACACCAGUGGCGAAGGCGACUGCCUGGACGACACCUGACGCUGAGGCGCGAAAGCUAGGGGAGCAAACGGG